rnacentral:rRNA from 1 species
AACGUAGGGAGCAAGCGUUGUCCGGAAUCAUUGGGCGUAAAGCGCGCGUAGGUGGCCUCAUAAGUCCGCUGUGAAAGUCAAAGGCUCAACCUUUGAAAGCCGGUGGAUACUGUGGGGCUAGAGUACGGAAGAGGCGAGUGGAAUUCCUGGUGUAGCGGUGGAAUGCGCAGAUAUCAGGAGGAACACCAAUAGCGAAGGCAGCUCGCUGGGACGUUACUGACACUGAGGCGCGAAAGCGUGGGGAGCGAACAGG